GAUGAACGCUCGCGGCAGGCCUAAUACAUGCAAGUCGAACGAGAUUAAGAGGCUUGCUUCUUAUGAAAGUGGCGCACGGGUGCGUAACGCGUAUGCAACCUACCUUAAUCAGGGGGAUAGCCCGAAGAAAUUCGGAUUAAGACCGCAUAAAAACACAGGAUAGCAUUAUCCAAUGUUCAAAUAUUUAUAGGAUUAAGAUGGGCAUGCGUGUCAUUAGCUAGUUGGCGGGGUAACGGCCCACCAAGGCGACGAUGACUAGGGGAUCUGAGAGGAUGACCCCCCACACUGGUACUGAGACACGGACCAGACUCCUACGGGAGGCAGCAGUAAGGAAUAGUGGUCAAUGGAGGGAACUCUGAACCAGCCAUGCCGCGUGCAGGAAGACAGCCCUCUGGGUCGUAAACUGCUUUUAGUCGGGAAUAAACCUUUCUACGUGUAGGAAGCUGAAUGUACCGAAGGAAUAAGGAUCGGCUAACUCCGUG
rnacentral:rRNA from 1 species